rnacentral:tRNA from 1 species
GGGCGUGUAGCUCAGUUGGUUAGAGCGUUGCCCUGAUAAGGCAGAGGUCGCUGGUUCGAGUCCAGCCACGCCCACCA